GACGAACGCUGGCGGCGUGCUUAACACAUGCAAGUUGAACGGAAAGGCCCUGCUUUUGUGGGGUGCUCGAGUGGCGAACGGGUGAGUAACACGUGAGUAACCUGCCCUUGACUUUGGGAUAACUUCAGGAAACUGGGGCUAAUACCGGAUAGGAGCUCCUGCUGCAUGGUGGGGGUUGGAAAGUUUCGGCGGUUGUGGAUGGACUCGCGGCUUAUCAGCUUGUUGGUGGGGUAGUGGCUUACCAAGGCUUUGACGGGUAGCCGGCCUGAGAGGGUGACCGGCCACAUUGGGACUGAGAUACGGCCCAGACUCCUACGGGAGGCAGCAGUGGGGAAUAUUGCACAAUGGGCGGAAGCCUGAUGCAGCAACGCCGCGUGCGGGAUGACGGCCUUCGGGUUGUAAACCGCUUUCGCCUGUGACGAAGCGUGAGUGACGGUAAUGGGUAAAGAAGCACCGGCUAACUACGUG
rnacentral:rRNA from 1 species